rnacentral:rRNA from 1 species
CCUACGGGAGGCAGCAGUGAGGAAUAUUGGUCAAUGGGCGCGAGCCUGAACCAGCCAAGUCGCGUGCGGGAAGACGGUCCUAUGAAUUGUAAACCUCUUUUGUCGGGGAGCAAAAGACGCCACGCGUGGCGUUCCGAGAGUACCCGAAGAAAAAGCAUCGGCUAACUCCGUGCCAGCAGCCGCGGUAAUACGGAGGAUGCGAGCGUUAUCCGGAUUUAUUGGGUUUAAAGGGUGCGCAGGCGGACGAUCAAGUCAGCGGUAAAAUUGAGAGGCUCAACCUCUUCGAGCCGUUGAAACUGGUUUGCUUGAGUGAGCGAGAAGUAUGCGGAAUGUGUGGUGGAGCGGUGAAAUGCAUAGAUAUCACGCAGAACUCCGAUUGCGAAGGCAGCAUACCGGCGCUCAACUGACGCUCAUGCACGAAAGUGUGGGGAUCGAACAGGAUUAGAUACCCUAGUAGUC